ensembl:lncRNA
GUUUAUCGAUAAUGAGGAUCGUUAAACUCUCAGACAAUAAAGAGAAUGUUUGUUGCAUCACAGACAUGAUCGUAUGUUUUACUAACUAAACACAGCAUGUUGUGGAGGGCAUAUCAGUUUGUCUUGAAACAAUUUUACUGCACAAAGCAAAGGAUUUUUGGAAAGUGCAUUCACCCCUGUAAUUUGUCCAUACUGUAAAUUAUUUUUGCAGCAGUGAUCCAACUGGGAAAAACUGACCAAAAGCAACAGCGAUUUCUUUCAAACUUCCUUUUUGUCAGGGUCCCUGUGCCUACCCGGUCGGCUCAGUACGGCUACAUAUGUUUUGUAUUCCUUUUUUUAUUUUUUUCCUGCUCUCUCCUUUCCCCUCUUUCCCUCCUCCCUCUGCCUGGGCGGAGCUUACCUGCGGGCUCCUGCCCUUGGCCCACGCACCUGUGGCUCAUCACGAGUGAUCCAGCUCCUUUAUAAGACGGCAGCCCUGUGUUUCUCGUCGCUGGACCGUUGCCGACCCUCAUUCCCUGGACCUACCCCUGUGUUACCCGAGUGCGUGGAGUGUGAGGAGGAGUGGACGGAGAGUGUGCGUGUCUUUCCCGUUCGUGUGUGGACCCCCGGAGCCCGGCUUUCCCCUCACUUUUGUAAAUAAUCACCUGGUGCAUCAUAAUAAAGACUCUUGUGCUUUCAAGACCUAGAGCCUGCGCGUGAGUCCGUUCAGUCCCGUUGUGACACUUUUUUUUUUUAACCGUUUGGUGGAACUGGCGAUAAAAGGAAAAAAAGGAUUGUUUUCUGGAGAAAACAUUAACUCAACAAAAGUGACAACUGGACCAGCAGUUCGUUAACUCCAUCUGAUUGAGUAAAAUGGCACUAACUUGUACGAUACCUGCUAUAGACUCUGCACUAUGUGUUGAUCAGGUUAAAGACACUGAAAAGAAAAACUGGUGCAGACAGCUGCAUUUUGAAAGAGUGGAGUUGAACAAAAUGAAAAGUCUGGUAAUGGACAGAUGCAGGUUUAUCCAUAAUGAGGAUGGUUAAAACAGGCAAUAAAGAGGAUGUUUGUUGCAUCACAGACAUGAUAGGAUGUUUCACUAACUCAUAAAAACACGGCAUGUUGUGGAGGGCAUAGCAGUUUGUCUUGAAACAACUUUAAUCUCGAAAUUUUGUCUUUAUUCUCUUUUUUUGGGGGGGGGGCUUAAUAAUCGGCCAUAGUACACUGUAAAUGGUUUUAGUAAAUUUAACAGUAUUUUUACAGGGAUAUGUAUGUAUAAGAUACUCUAAAAUGUUUUUAAAUUAUUUUACUGCACAAAGCAAAGGAUUGUGGGAGAGUGUACAUUCACUGCUGUAAUUUGUCUGUACUGUAAAUUAUUUUGCAGCAGUGAUCCAACGCAGGAAAAACUGACCAAUAACAACAGAGAUUUCUUUCAAACUUCUUUUUUUUAAAAAAAAGUUUGGUGGAACCAACAGUAAAAGGAAAAAAGGAUUAUUUUCUGGAGAAAACAUUAACUCAACAAAAGGUUAGUAGACUCUUAUUAUGUUUUAGAAAACGAAGCUAUUUUCUAGAAUCAUUUACUUCUAAGCUGAUUUCAACUUUUUACAGUAAACACUAAAGUAGUGUAUAGUGGAGUAGUGUAUUGUCAUACACUGGUCAUAGCUUACAUUUGUUAUUGAGACCAUCAAAUGUUUAAAUAAUAGUUUUUGGCCUCAUUCUCUUCUGAAAAUUAUUAUUAUUUUUUUAAUGCCGUAUUCCCACAUGAUCCUAUAAAAUGUUUAUAAUUAUAAUUUUAUAUUAAGAAACAGAAACUAGCAGGAGUUGUGCAAGUGCAAGUGGCAAGGGAGGAGUUAUGUAAGCAUAUUUUAUAUUUUCAAAAGCAUCUUUUUUUUUUCCCUUCAAGCUUUUAGCCGACUCAUCAUUAGUGAGGUGUUCACUGGAGCCUUUUGUGGCUGGACUGGGUUGGGAGCUCGAUAAGCUAACAUGACUGAAUUAACUGAAGUAAACUGAAACUAAUGACAAAUCAAAAGUGCAUCUGUGUUCUUUGCAUAAUAAGUGUAGAUGCUUUCUGCAAAAAUGUAAUUUGUCAAAUAACUUUCAUUAAUUUCUGAAUAAAUUCACUAGAUGCAGACCACUGUGUGUUUUACAUUUUCUUCUGUUCUUCAUAAUUCAGUUCUUGCUUUAACUUCGACCUCUUUUUCUGUUUUCAGUGAAAACUGGACCAACACAUUUCUUAAGCACCAUAAGCCAUAGCAACCUUUAGCAGUUCAUUAAUGUCACCGACUUGCUCGAUACCUGCUAUAGACUCUGCACACAUGGAAGCCAAUCAGAGAUCGUACACUGUUAAACUUCCAACAUCUGAGUUCAUUAUUAGCUGUUGAGGUUAAGCAUUCAGUCAACACAGAAACACUGGGGAGGAUGUUUUCUGUACUCUGUAAGGACCAGUGAUGGAUGUGGGGCUGAAGCCUUUAGGUUUAUAUUGUUAAAAAGUAAUUAUGAGAGAAUUUGUUUCAGGUCGUUUUUCAGAGUAACAUGAAAGUAACAUAAUGAAUAAUGUAACAAAUUAACUUUUAGUAAACUACUGCAUUACUUCUAAGAAAGGUGUUCUGUGUAAUAUGUUUAUUUAUUUCUCGAGUAAUAACCUCAACAGCGGUAAGCACAGAUAAUUUUGUUGAUAAUGAGAACGCACUGCUCAUUAAGUUUUAAAAUUACAUUUUAAAAGUCAAAUGAACAAAAUGUGUGUCAAAACAAGCAUUUAGCUCGAUUUCAACUUCUCUGGUCUCUGCAGUAACCUCUUUGUGGUGUAUUUUUUUCCACUUUAACAGUCAAAUAUUAACCACAGGCACUAAAACUGUGUCCUUUACAUCUGCUUCCUCUCUAUUUUAUGGCCUCACAGAGAGUAGUAGUAACAUGUGGUGUAGCUUACUGAUGGCCACUUUAACAUGAAUUCAAAUUGAAAUUUCCACAAGUCAUAAUAGCUAAACCCAGAGAUUUAAAUUCUUUUACAAUCAAGGCCUGUGAGCACCAGUCAAUUUACAUGAAAGUAAAUGAAGUGUAAAAUAUAACUGUGCACAGUUUGUAGAUUUUCUGUGAGUGAGUUAUUUUUUUCAUUUCUUAGCAGUCAUAUAAUGCUUAUUUUCUUUGUCACUUAUUUGUGUAUUUACUGUGUAAAUGUUUGUAAUAGAUAAGUCAGGGCAAGUUUGUUGACGGUGUAAGCCUCAUUUAUUCUCCAGGUUUCAGUACUGUUGUUUACUGUGGCUUGAUUUUCUGUAGAAAGUGUAAUGAAGAAAACUUCUGUUAUGAAACAGCACAUUCCUCAUUUCAAAAGCGCAAAUUAAAAAAAUUAUACAAUUCAUUUUUUUAAAUUUAUUUUUUAGAAAAUAACAUAAUUAAAUACAGAAAUAAGACUGAGACUUUGCAGAGCUCUGCACAGAAUCCAACAUGAGCUCGGUUAGCACCAAAGAAAAAACCCUUGAUA